CUUGUAUAUAGAUUCAUCCUAAUUCUUUGUCUAAAAUAUGCAGUGUGGUAACAGAUUUGUAUUUUUUUUUAACUGUGAUUCAUGGUCUCUGUGCAGACAGACCGAGUGCUGACUGACUGGCUCUUAGUUGUGUAUAUAAUGUAUUAUAUUGUAGAGUUUUUACAAACAAACGAAGUUGCAGUUGUCCCAUCAAUUUGGGUUAAAAAUGGAAUGUGUCAGUGGCCGCUGACAUAUAAAAUGAGUGACAUCACGAGAGCUACACGGAAUCAAGAGCAGCCUGGAGACCAUUGGGAGUCAUUCAGUAUAAAGAUUUUAUAUACAACUGACAACUAUAACAGUGCACGUUUGAAACUCCCUGAGGCAGAAGCCAUGACCGACAUCCACACAGCGGAAGAAGAUCAAGAUGACACAAUGGAAAAAAAAUACCCAACAAAAGACUUCUUGACAGUGAAAGUGAUGAUGACCUCCCUAUCAAAAAGAGCAAAAAACUCCCACCACCACCAGUAAUAAAGCAUCCAAACCCAGGAUUGGCUAGCUCCAAGAUUCAACCAAGACCAGUGAGCCCCGAGACCGGAGGUGGAUCGGCGAGCCCCGAGACCGGACAUGGAACAUCUCAAAGCAGAAGAUGGCCCUCUCAUGAUUUUGCAUCUGCUCUACAUCAUCUACUGAUAAAACAAGAAAUGGUCAUAGACCAAUUGAAGAUCAUCCCGAGGACUGUUCAGGCUAUACAAGGAAGUACUGGAGGUCCAAGCGAGCAAAAUUUUGAUGAAGGGGCACUGCCGCUUACAGAUCUUGAGUCACUGCUUGAUCUGGAGAAUGUUCUGAAAAAUUAACAAGAGCUCAAAAACAAAAUGAUCACUGCUUUGGGGCUUAAUGGAGGGGUGGACCUGAAGGAUACCGUGUGGCGAAUUAUGAAGCGAACUGUGACUAACUCUCUGGCCAAGAAGUUGAACUGGCAGGGCAUAAAUGGGAAAACGGCAUUCAACAGCUUGUUACUAAAAGAUGUGAUUGCUGGAGCUGUUAGAAGAAAUCGGCUCACCAGACUGGCAACAAAUCAAGAAAUUGAGUUCUACAUAAAAAGAUGGCUACAUUUAGCAAUAGAUAGAGAAGGAGGGAGGAAGUUACGGCAGGAGAGACGGUCUGUCUUGUAAGGUCCCCGUCCCCCCCUCUUCUUAUCAUUUGUAGCUCUCUGGUCCUACUUGGAUGCUGUCUAUGCAACGGACAGAAAGAGAGAAUUUCUCUUUGUUAACUUUGGACUGUUUGAUUGUUUAAGAUGUUGGUGCUGUUUCCAAAUAUUCACUUGUUCCUGAGUUUCAUGCUGACCAUUGUAUUGGACGGAGAAGAAGAGAGGAAGUUACGGCAGCAUCCUCUUUUUUUGUAACUUUAGUUAUUUUUGGUUUUAAAGAAAUACAAGUAUUGUGUGCACUAUGAUUUCAGUGUUUAUUUUAAAUGUUUACAAUGGAAAAUGGGCAAUGGAAAGAGAAAGCAGGACAGUAGUUUGAAUGUUAGAUAAAUUAAAUAGUU